CCAGGCUGUUUGACAGAUUCAUGGAUGGUUUCAAGCUGUACUGGUUGCAUCCACAUCAGGGCUCCAGUGAGCAUGUCCUCCAUUAUAUUUUCCAUAUCUUGUAACAAGGGAGAGCAGGGACUUGUUGGCAAACUUUCAUCCAGGAAUGUGAUGUGUUCUCCAUUAGAGAGUUUGACUCCUAGCUGCAUGUUAGGGAGAUCAAAAGUGACAGGACUAUGUUUAUACAUCCAGUCAGCUCCAAGAAUGAGAUCAUAUCCUGUAAGUUUCAACAUUCUGAAAUCGGAUACUAGUUCCACUCCCUGAAUAGU